CUGCUCUAGGACCACGGGAGUGCUUCGGCGGACUCGGGCCCCGCGCCUGUGGUCUCCGGUCUCCGGGGCCGCGACUUCUCUGCCCGGUUCAGCUCUGCGUCCCGUCCGCCUCGCUCAGACCGAUUCUGUGGUUCUGGAUGUUCGAAUUAAACGUGGUUAAAACCAGCUCUGGGUUUUGAGUUUUCUUUUUUCCCCUCAGGAUUUCUGUAUUUUCACCAUGAUGUGUCCAGAGAUUCACCAUGAAGUGACUCAGUAAGAGCCUCUGAGAAACAUACCACGAAGAAACUUAGUGAGUCUUCUUAAUGUUCCACUGACUUCCAGCUCUGGCUGCUGCCCAUAACUUCUCCUUCCAUGUCCAGUUUCCUUGGCUUGUAAGGGCUUCAGUCAUUGGAUUAAGGCUCAUGCUCUUUCAGUUUGGGCACACCUUACCUAGUCACAUCUUUAAAGGUCCUAUUUACAAGUGGAUUCACACCUAUCAUGGGUUCAACUCUUUACACCUCAAAUCUGUGAUCUCUGUUAGAAAAGGCCUGAGCUUUAGCAGGUCAUUAUUCAGUCAGUUUGGGCUUCAUCAAGUGACCUCCUACUCAAAGAAAAGUCUAGGGACAGACAACAGUUUAAAAGUAAAGAGCACUCAAGACAAGGCUUCACCUUUAACACAUUUUUAAUGAAGGAGCACUUAAAGUAAAAGGAGAAAGUUUACAAUGUAAAAAUAAAUUGAUCCAUUACCAAGGCUGGGGGUGCCUGCCCUUCCCAGAGGCAACUGAGUGUGAGAGUGUGCUGGCUUGAAUGUACUGUGUCCCCCAGAAAAGGCCAUGUUCUUUGGUGCAGUCUUGUGGGGCAGACAUUUUGGUGCUGAUUAGAUUUGCAUGGAAAUGCGCCCCACCCAA